AUUGAACGCUGGCUGCAUGCCUUACACAUGCAAGUCGAACGGUAACAGGUCAAGCUGACGAGUGGCGAACGGGAGAGUAAUAUAUCGGAACGUGCCCAGUCGUGGGGGAUAACGUAGCGAAAGCUGCGCUAAUACCGCAUACGAUCCCUGGAUGAAAGCGGGGGACGCCCAAGAGCCUCGCCCGAUUGGAGCGGCCGAUGUCAGAUUCGGUAGUUGGGGGGGUAAAAGCCUACGAAGCCGACAAUCUGUAGCGGGUCUGAGAGGACGACCAGCGACACUGGGACUGAGACACGGCCCAGACUCCUACGGGAGGCAGCAGUGGGGAAUUUUGGACGAUGGGCGAAAGCCUGAUCCAGCCAUGCCGCGUGCAGGACGAAGGCCUUCGGGUUGUAAACUGCUUUUGUACGGAACGAAACGGCUCUCUCAAAUACGGGGGGCUAAUGACGGUACCGUAAGAGUAAGCACCGGCUAACUACGUGCCAGCAGCCGCCGUAA
rnacentral:rRNA from 1 species